GUCUACGGCCGUGCUACCCUGAACACACUCGAUCCCUUCUGAUCUCAAGAAGCUAAGCAGGGUCGGGCCUGGUCAGUACUUGGAUGAGAGACCACCUAGGAAGACCAGGUGCUGUAGGCG
rfam:Pteropus alecto contig13504, whole genome shotgun sequence.